GAAAGCAUAGAAGAAAUGGGACGAGAAUUCCAAUCUAUUGCAAAGCAUUUUCCCUCUUCUUUCUACCAAACAUCAUGACUGAACCCCAACUUACUUACUUUUACCUCUGAGAUCUCAGGAGCUAAGACUGUAGGGGAGGCUGUGGGAAUUCCAGCAUGCACAGUGUGGUUUGAAAUCCACAGACAAGGGAGCAUGGCUUCCUUCCUUGGCCUGCUGCCCCACGCGCGGUGAGCAGAGCAGCCAAGCCAAAGUGGCAGCCGCAGUGUGGGAGCCCAGCUCUGCUGCCAUAAAUUAGCCAGGGGCAGGAAGGAGCAGUGAGAGUCAGCGGUUUCAGCUACCUAGUAGUUCAUUUUUGUUCUUGUUUUUCAGUUAGCAAUCUGUAAAAUUUAUUGCAAAAUUAAGCUCCCUGCUCCAGAGUCAAUAAUAUUCCUGGUGCCAGGUGGUGUAAUAAUUCACAAAAAGGGCAGGAGCUGGAGAGAAUGAGACUGAUUUAGGAAGUAGACUUCCAAGCCCGAUUUGCUGCUGCCUACUCCCUGCUGCUAAAGGUCAGAUCAGAGAGAGAAGACAAGCAAACCUUGAACUGACACUACUGAUUCACAGCCUUAACAUUGUGGAGACAAGAAUGCCUCCAGAUAGGACUCUAAGGACGUCCUGCGCGUGGCCCUUACAAACUCCCCACUGCUUGCUGAGAUGGAUUAAAAGAUGCAAACUCACUGAAAUACGCCAAGGAAUAUAAUGGUCUCUACAGAAGAUCUGGCUGUGUCAACCAACAAAAAGUUCCAGCUGUGGCAGCCGUGUGGAACAAAGGGAACUCUUGGCUUAAUGUGGAGUACAUGCUUCUGACGUUCCAGUUCAGGCAAGAAAUAAAUAAAGCUAUUACAAAGCCCUUGACCA
rnacentral:lncRNA from 1 species